rnacentral:rRNA from 1 species
UACGUAGGGGGCAAGCGUUGUCCGGAUUAUUGGGCGUAAAGAGCGUGUAGGCGGCCAGGUAGGUCAGCUGUGAAAACUCGAGGCUCAACCUCGAGAUGUCGGCUGAAACCAUCUGGCUAGAGUCCGGAAGAGGAGAAUGGAAUUCCCGGUGUAGCGGUGAAAUGCGCAGAUAUCGGGAAGAACACCCGUGGCGAAGGCGGUUCUCUGGGACGGUACUGACGCUGAGACGCGAAAGCGUGGGGAGCGAACAGG